rnacentral:rRNA from 1 species
UACGUAGGUGACAAGCGUUGUCCGGAUUUACUGGGCGUAAAGAGCGCGCAGGCGGUCGUUCAAGUCGAGUGUGAAAGCCCCCCGGCUCAACUGGGGAGGGUCAUUCGAUACUGAUCGACUCGAAGGCAGGAGAGGGAAGUGGAAUUCCCGGCGUAGUGGUGAAAUGCGUAGAUAUCGGGAGGAACACCAGUGGCGAAGGCGACUACCUGGCCUGUUCUUGACGCUGAGGCGCGAAAGCUAAGGGGAGCGAACGGGG